AUUGAACGCUGGCGGCAGGCCUAACACAUGCAAGUCGAGCGAGCGGCGGACGGGUGAGUAAUGUCUGGGAAACUGCCUGAUGGAGGGGGAUAACUACUGGAAACGGUAGCUAAUACCGCAUACUAUCAGAUGAGCCUAGGUCGGAUUAGCUAGUUGGUGGGGUAAAGGCCUACCAAGGCGACGAUCCGUAACUGGUCUGAGAGGAUGAUCAGUAACACUGGAACUGAUACACGGUCCGGACUCUGACGGGAGGCAGCAGUGGGGAAUAUUGGACAAUGGGCGAAAUCCUGAUCCAGCCAUGCCGCAUGGAUGAAGAAGGCCGUCGGGUGGUAAAGUACUUUCAGCGGGGAGGCGUUACCCACAGAAGAAGCACCGGCUAACGCCGUGCCAGCAGCCGCGGUAAUAC
rnacentral:rRNA from 1 species